rnacentral:rRNA from 1 species
CCUACGGGAGGCAGCAGUGGGGAAUAUUGGACAAUGGGGGGAACCCUGAUCCAGCCAUGCCGCGUGUGUGAAGAAGGCCCUCGGGUUGUAAAGCACUUUCAGUGAGGAAGAACGCCUGGUGGUUAAUACCCAUCAGGAAAGACAUCACUCACAGAAGAAGCACCGGCUAACUCCGUGCCAGCAGCCGCGGUAAUACGGAGGGUGCGAGCGUUAAUCGGAAUUACUGGGCGUAAAGCGCGCGUAGGUGGCUUGAUAAGCCGGUUGUGAAAGCCCGGGGCUCAACCUGGGAACGGCAUCCGGAACUGUCAAGCUAGAGUGCAGGAGAGGAAGGUAGAAUUCCCGGUGUAGCGGUGAAAUGCGUAGAGAUCGGGAGGAAUACCAGUGGCGAAGGCGGCCUUCUGGACUGACACUGACACUGAGGUGCGAAAGCGUGGGUAGCAAACAGGAUUAGAUACCCUAGUAGUC